GCCUUUGUGGUGUAAUGGUCAGCACAUUCGGCGCGUAUCGACAGGUCCGAGGUUCGAGUCCCUGUGAAGGCA
rnacentral:tRNA from 1 species